rnacentral:rRNA from 1 species
AGUAAAAGUCGUAACAAGGUUUCCGUAGGUGAACCUGCGGAAGGAUCAUUAAUAGGUGCUGACACCCCGGGGCUUCGCCCUGGGGCGACGCAUACAGAGACGAAGAACGCACGUAUAACACCGGAUUCGCGCCCGGGGCUGCCGUCGCAAGACGCGUAGCAGGCCAGCUCUCGUAGACGUAGGCGCCCACCCUGGCCAGCGUGCGUUUGACCCUCGCCACCCUUUGUUAAUUCUACCUUUGUUGCUUUGGCAGGCCCGCGCUCCGGCGCUCUCGGCUUCGGCGGAGACGUGUCUGCCAGAGGACCCCAACUCGUGAUUUUAGUGAUGUCUGAGUACUAUAUAAUAGUUAAAACUUUCAACAACGGAUCUCUUGGUUCUGGCAUCGAUGAAGAACGCAGCGAAAUGCGAUAAGUAAUGUGAAUUGCAGAAUUCAGUGAAUCAUCGAAUCUUUGAACGCACAUUGCGCCCGGUGGUAUUCCGCCGGGCAUGCCUGUUCGAGCGUCAUUAGUCCAAAUCACGCCUGGCGUGGUCUUGGGGGUUAGCCUCUGGGCUCCCCUUAAACACAGUGGCGGCGCCGCGAGGCUCUCAGCGUAGUAAUUCUUCUCGCUAGAGGGUCCUCGUGGAUGCUUGCCAGCAACCCCCAAUACUUAUGGUUGACCUCGGAUCAGGUAGGGAUACCCGCUGAACUUAAGCAUAUCAAUAAGGCGGAGGA